UCAUUAGAAAUGAUUUACCGGCGCUUAUAGAUUUACAUUAAAUUUCCUCUCUAUUUCCUUCCCAACUUCUAACCUAUAUUUUCUUUUUCUUUUUUGUGUCCUACGUUUGCGGCCGUUCGUGAUCAACCGUGCGAUGACACUGAUAAUCGCGAUCGAAAAUUGCAGAACGAUAGUCAAUUUCCGUUGUUCGCGUUAUUAACGAUUUGCGUUAUUUGCGUUUCCGAUUAUUUGAGGCGAAAAUUUGUAAUCGCCUAAUUAUGUACCUAACACUAUUAAUAACGACUGUUAGUCUAAACAAUUUUUUAUUCUAUCCACCGUUAAUUCCAUA